UUCCUUUCUCUUUAAAGCUCUUUACUCAAUUUGUCCUAACUUCGCUUUCCCGUCGUCCCUUGCUAUCCCAAGCAGAGCUGCAGAAGUCAUGCAAGGAGGAGGACGCGAGAAGGUGGCUCGUUUGCUGAAGCAGCUGCAGCUGGCAGCAUGCACGUGUCCAGUUCAUUCUCACACUUACAGUCAAGGAAGGGAUCGAUCGAUCGAUCGAUCUAUGUGGUGCACUCUGGAACAAAAAUGGCUGGAUUGGCUCUAGAUUUAGAUAGAAAGCAAAGCAAUAACCUGGUUAUUAUAAAGGUGAGUAUUUUUUUCAAUAGGUCUACUCUAAAUGUAGCUAAGUCCAGAGAUAAUGCCAUGCCAUAUUUGGAAUGGAAGGGAGGGGGAGAGAAUAACUAAUCUGUUCUCUGAUUUACCUGAUCUUUUUAAAGAUUCUUUUAAAUUUAAAUGAAAUUAAAUGGGAAGAUGGCAGGCUGCAAUGUGCCAGCCUUAGGCCUAGAGGUGUUCUUAAAAUUAAAAACAGUAACUAAAAAAGUUGAACCCCUGCAGUAUUGAGUAUCAUAAUUUUUUAAAAAGAUUUGUUGUUGUUACUUGCAACAUCUUGUCUGACCCAUCACUACCCCAUGGACAAUAUUCCUCCAGGCCUUCCUAUCCUCUACCAUCCUCUGGAAUCCAUUUGGUG